rfam:Penicillium steckii strain IBT 24891 PENSTE_contig004, whole genome shotgun sequence.
GGUUGUGUAGUGUAAUGGUUCAUCACUGCGGAUUCUGAUUCCGCCGAUCCCGGUUCGAUCCCGGGCACGACCU